AGCGAACGCUGGCGGCGUGCCUAACACAUGCAAGUCGAGCGGACCGCAUGGGGCAACUCAGGCGGUUAGCGGCGGACGGGUGAGUAACACGUGGGUAACCCACCUGGGGGACCGGGAUAACGGCUCGAAAGGGCCGCUAAUACCGGAUACGUUCCUCGGGGCACAAGCUCCGGGGAGGAAAGGUCGCGCAAGCAGCCACUCCCAGACGGGCCCGCGGCCCAUUAGCUAGUUGGCGGGGUAACGGCCCACCAAGGCGAUGAUGGGUAGCCGGUCUGAGAGGAUGAUCGGCCACACGGGGACUGAGACACGGCCCCGACUCCUACGGGAGGCAGCAGUGGGGAAUCUUCCGCAAUGGGCGAAAGCCUGACGGAGCGACGCCGCGUGGGGGACGAAGGCCUUCGGGUCGUAAACCCCUGUCAGAGGGAAAGAUGGGUGCUGGCGUGAAUAGCGCCAGCAUUUGACGGUACCCUCAGAGGAAGCCACGGCCAACUCCGUGCCAGCCGCCGCGGUAAAAC
rnacentral:rRNA from 1 species